rnacentral:rRNA from 1 species
GAUAAACGCUGGCGGCGUGCAUUAUGCAUGCAAGUCGAACGGUGCCGCAAGGCACAGUGGCAAACGGGUGAGUAACACAUAAGUAACCUGUCCUCGAGUGGGGCAUAAUUCGCCGCAAAGCGGACUAAUACCGCAUAUGAUCGUUUUUCAUAAGAAAGAUUAUUAAAGCCGCCAGGCGCUUGAGGAGGGGCUUGUGUCCGAUUAGCUAGCUGGUUGGGUAAGUGCCUACCAAGGCUGGGAUCGGUAGCUGGUCUGAGAGGAUGGUCAGCGACACCGGCACUAAGACACGGCCCAGACUCCUACGGGAGGCAGCAGCGAGGAAUUUUGCGCAAUGGGCGAAAGCCUGACGCAGCAACGCCGCGUGAGGGAUGAAGGCCUUCGGGUUGUAAACCUCUUUUCCUAGGGACGAAUAAUGACGGUACCUGAGGAAUAAGCUUCGGCUAACUACGUGCCAGCCGCCGCCGUAAUAC